rnacentral:tRNA from 1 species
UAUGGCUUAGUAUAUGGUGUACGAAAGUUUUUGAUAUUUUUAGAAAUAGUUUAAUCCUAUUAGUCAUAA